rnacentral:rRNA from 1 species
AGAGUUUGAUCAUGGCUCAGGACGAACGCUGGCGGCGUGCUUAACACAUGCAAGUCGAACGGAAAGGCCCUUCGGGGUACUCGAGUGGCGAACGGGUGAGUAACACGUGGGUGAUCUGCCCUGCACUUUGGGAUAAGCCUGGGAAACUGGGUCUAAUACCGAAUAUGACCACGCUCUUCAUGGGGUGUGGUGGAAAGCUUUUGCGGUGUGGGAUGGGCCCGCGGCCUAUCAGCUUGUUGGUGGGGUAAUGGCCUACCAAGGCGACGACGGGUAGCCGGCCUGAGAGGGUGACCGGUCACACUGGGACUGAGAUACGGCCCAGACUCCUACGGGAGGCAGCAGUGGGGAAUAUUGCACAAUGGGCGCAAGCCUGAUGCAGCGACGCCGCGUGAGGGAUGACGGCCUUCGGGUUGUAAACCUCUUUCACCAGGGACGAAGCGCAAGUGACGGUACCUGGAGAAGAAGCACCGGCCAACUACGUGCCAGCAGCCGCGAUAAUACGUAGGGUGCGAGCGUUGUCCGGAAUUACUGGGCGUAAAGAGCUCGUAGGUGGUUUGUCGCGUUGUUCGUGAAAACUCACAGCUUAACUGUGGGCGUGCGGGCGAUACGGGCAGACUAGAGUACUGCAGGGGAGACUGGAAUUCCUGGUGUAGCGGUGGAAUGCGCAGAUAUCAGGAGGAACACCGGUGGCGAAGGCGGGUCUCUGGGCAGUAACUGACGCUGAGGAGCGAAAGCGUGGGGAGCGAACAGGAUUAGAUACCCUGGUAGUCCAA